rnacentral:rRNA from 1 species
UGCAGUCGAGCGAACGGACGAGAAGCUUGCUUCUCUGAUGUUAGCGGCGGACGGGUGAGUAACACGUGGAUAACCUACCUAUAAGACUGGGAUAACUUCGGGAAACCGGAGCUAAUACCGGAUAAUAUUUUGAACCGCAUGGUUCAAAAGUGAAAGACGGUCUUGCUGUCACUUAUAGAUGGAUCCGCGCUGCAUUAGCUAGUUGGUAAGGUAACGGCUUACCAAGGCAACGAUGCAUAGCCGACCUGAGAGGGUGAUCGGCCACACUGGAACUGAGACACGGUCCAGACUCCUACGGGAGGCAGCAGUAGGGAAUCUUCCGCAAUGGGCGAAAGCCUGACGGAGCAACGCCGCGUGAGUGAUGAAGGUCUUCGGAUCGUAAAACUCUGUUAUUAGGGAAGAACAUAUGUGUAAGUAACUGUGCACAUCUUGACGGUACCUAAUCAGAAAGCCACGGCUAACUACGUGCCAGCAGCCGCGGUAAUACGUAGGUGGCAAGCGUUAUCCGGAAUUAUUGGGCGUAAAGCGCGCGUAGGCGGUUUUUUAAGUCUGAUGUGAAAGCCCACGGCUCAACCGUGGAGGGUCAUUGGAAACUGGAAAACUUGAGUGCAGAAAAGGAAAGUGGAAUUCCAUGUGUAGCGGUGAAAUGCGCAGAGAUAUGGAGGAACACCAGUGGCGAAAGCGACUUUCUGGUCUGUAACUGACGCUGAUGUGCGAAAGCGUGGGGAUCAAACAGGAUUAGAUA